AACCCAGAAAGAAACAGAAUGGCUGUGAUUAGAUAUUGACCAGAAUUGAAGAAUGAGCAGUAAACAGAAAUCAGAUUAUCAGAUGCACUCCAGAAUUUGAUGGAACAUCCUAUUCUAAUAAGAGAACAGAAUAUCAGAGUCUGGAACUAAUCCAACGGUCAGAUUCAGAGUUAUAGAAGAAACCUAGUUGAAAUAGCACUUUCUAGAACUGAGAAUCGAUUUGUGUGUGGACUGAUCUCAGAACAGCAUAUAGUGCAAUCAGAUUAAG